rnacentral:lncRNA from 1 species
GUAGGGGUGGCAACGAGGUCUCAUUGCUGCAGAUCGGGUUAAAAACACCAUCAAUCCGAUUCGUACCUAUUUAUUAAAUAAAUAAAAAAUUUAGAUUCAAAUUUAAUUUAUUUAUUAAACAAAAAAUUUUGUCUGACUUGUCUAAUCCAUUUAUUAAACAUGUCAAGUUAGGUUAAAUGGAUUGAACAAGUUAACUAAAUUUUUAACUGAUUAAGUAGAUUAAUAGAGAAAAU